GCCAUACGCUACGACUGGAACACUCCUGAUAGUGCUGAGCUGUCUCCUGCUUCAAAGGGGGAUGGUUUUAUGAGCUAUAGAGAAUUCAAAGUUGGUCAACCCAGAAGUACUCCUAAGAACGUCGUCGAAGGACAGUUCAACUACUACGACAGACUGGAUGGCGAAUUCGAUGGCAGAAUAUCUUUGUCGGUUGCUCUUCGCAUGAUAAACGUCUUGGACGUAAAUAAGGACGGCGUAGUCACACUUAACGAAUAUCUAAAGGUCUUGCCACAUGUAAGGUCUUCAUAGAUUGUCUUUGUGAAUACAAUACAUAACUGUACGAAGUUUAGAAUGAUUCAGUCGUUAUGUGCUGAGAGUUCGUAAAUUAACCUAAACAUUGAUGAUUUACACAAGUGUUGUUUAGAAUACUUAAACUCUAGUUUUUCCACAUUCCUUUUUUAAAGUAUCUAUUUUUGUACAACAAACAAUAAAACCACUUGAUUUUUAAUUUAAAUAUGUCAGGUCUGUUAUAAGAAUCGGACCAGACAAUAUAAUUAAGUAAAUGAAAAUAAUUCAGAUAAAUAACGCAAUCAAGACGUGAAACAAAACAAUAAAAUGUUUGUAUUGAAAG